rnacentral:rRNA from 1 species
CACGUAGGGGCCGAGCGUUGUCCGGAGUUACUGGGCGUAAAGCGCGCGCAGGCGGUUUGGUACAUCGGUGGUGAAAGCCCCGGGCUUAACCCGGGAGGGUCCAUCGAGAUGGCCGGACUGGAGGCAGGGCGAGGGCGGUGGAAUUCCGGGUGUAGUGGUGAAAUGCGUAGAGAUCCGGAGGAACACCAGUGGCGAAGGCGGCCGCCGGGACCUGUCCUGACGCUGAGGCGCGAAGGCGUGGGGAGCGAACGGG